AUGCCUGAGAGCGUGGUGCCCGGCGGGGAGGACCGCAUCGGCGCCCUCCCGGACGAUCUCCUCCGCCGCGUGCUGUCGUUCCUUACCUCGCGCGAGUCCGUCUGCACAUGCGUGCUCGCUCGCCGCUGGCGCCACCUCUGGAAGUCCGUGCCCGUGGUGCGCGUCAUGGCGCCGGUGCCCAUCGAUAGAGAAGGGGAGGAAGAGCUCUGGUUUGUUAAUUCGCUGCUUUUCCUCCGCGACCGGGCGCCGCUGCAUGAGGUCGAUAUCAGAACCUACCUCGACGACCCAUCCGCACCCCUCAACGUUGAGCUGUGGCUCCGAUAUGCGGCAUCCUGCCAUGUUCGGGUGCUUCGAGUUUGGGUGCUUCGAGUUUACAGUCGGCGUCUGCAGCUACCCAACGUGACUCUCAUCUGCCAGCACCUGACAGUAUUAGAUUUCGCUGGUAUGAAAUUUGAGGAACCCACUCUGAAUUUUUCAAGCUGCCCAAUGCUAGAGGUAUUAAAGAUGUAUGAUUGUAAAAUCAGCGCCGAGAAGAUCUUGUGCAAAUCGUUAAGGCAUCUAACUAUGGAGAUAUGCCGUUUUGACCUGUAUGGCCGCACUCGUAUCUCUUGCCCAAGUCUCACUGCCUUGAAACUAGUUGACAAUUUGGGUUGGACUCCUUCCCUUGAGAGCAUGCCGUUAUUGGUAACGGCACUUGUCAGGUUUGAUGAAGAAUGGUAUGAACGUCAAGCGUGUUAUGAUCAUUGUCUUAAUGGUGGUUACUAUGGGGACUGUGAUGAUGAGUUAUGUCCUUCUUGCCUCUGUCAUGGCGAUGACUGUGUGCUUCUAAAAGGUCUAUGUGACGCUACAAAUUUGAAGUUGACAAGUGCUCCUCAAGCGAUUAUUUGCACCAGGGAUUUUAAAUGGUGCCAUACAUUUAGCAAGUUAAAAACAUUGUUUCUCAAUGAGUGGUGUCUGGCUGCUGCCUUCGGUGGACUGGUUUACUUUCUUCAGCACUCACCAAUUCUAGAGAGGCUUACCCUUCAACUUAGAUUUGAUGAGCAACAAUCUAUGGAUGGAAAAGAUGAAAGCUACAAGCCAAGAGAACAAUUUUUGGUAUCGAAGAAUCUUAAAGUAGUCGAAAUCAAGUGUCGCAAGGAAGAUGAAAGGAUUCACCAAAUUGUAAAGAUCCUUGUUAGCCUUGGAGUACCUCCUGAUCUUAUUGACAACCAACAGAACAGUGUGCAGUCUGAUUGCUCCAGUUUCGAGCAGGAGUAG
rnacentral:rRNA from 1 species